rnacentral:rRNA from 1 species
AGUGAACGCUGGCGGUAGGCCUAACACAUGCAAGUCGAACGGCAGCACAGUAAGAGCUUGCUCUUACGGGUGGCGAGUGGCGGACGGGUGAGGAAUACAUCGGAAUCUACUUUUUCGUGGGGGAUAACGUAGGGAAACUUACGCUAAUACCGCAUACGACCUACGGGUGAAAGCAGGGGAUCUUCGGACCUUGCGCGAUUGAAUGAGCCGAUGUCGGAUUAGCUAGUUGGCGGGGUAAAGGCCCACCAAGGCGACGAUCCGUAGCUGGUCUGAGAGGAUGAUGAGCCACACUGGAACUGAGACGCGGUCCAGACUCCUACGGGAGGCAGCAGUGGGGAAUAUUGGAAAAUGGGGGCAAGCCUGAUCCAGCCAUACCGCGUGGGUGAAGAAGGCCUUCGGGUUGUAAAGCCCUUUUGUUGGGGAAGAAAAGCAGCAGGUUAAUACCCCGCUGUUCUGACGGUACCCAAAGAAUAAGCACCGGCUAACUUCGUG